GUUUACACUGAACGCCAGAGCAAGGCCGCUGCCAUGGGACCGUCUAUUCAUUAAUACACAGCCUGAUUCUAAAAUAUACGUGCGUUCUUAUAGCGCACACUUUCAUGAAACAGGGCGUCUCGCCUGCCCGUGAAGGAACGCGCAAAAAAAAAAAAAAAAAAAAAAAAAAAAACAGCACGAAGAGAAUGAGAAAGGAUGCUCUCAGACGAUCAACUUUUAAAACUCAACGCUUCUUUUGAAAUGAAAAUAAUAGCGGUGCCGAGGAGAGCUCUCCGCUCAGUCGAGGCAGAGGGAAGAAAAUCUUAGGAAGGACCAAGUCAGAGGGAGACACAGCCUGACACAGACUGAGGCUUAAAAGACAACAUUUAAGACAUUUUUCCAGAACUGGGAAGGACGGGGUGACCUUCAUUUCUUCCCCUUCUCUAUAUCAAUCUAUCCCUUUUUCUUGAGCACUGGGGCCUCUACGCUGGACCGUGUCUUACUCCACAGCUGAGGGACCAAGUGGCCAUGCUGCGAACACACAAAAACACAAACACACACACAUAUACUGUACACACUAAAACACACAUACACUCAUGUAUACUUCACUUUUUCUCUCUUUACACACACACACACACACGCACGCACACACUGUCUACCCUGUUUCCGCUUUCAGCUCGCACUACCGCUGCGGCCCUUCGCCUGCUGGCUAUUUUUC